rnacentral:lncRNA from 1 species
AGAGUACAGAUAUUCAUUGAGAAUGAGAGUACUGAGCGUGACCACCUCGAGCAGUCAUAAAGAAGUCUACCUUCUCGUCGAUGAGUAGCUCGAUGCUGCAGUUGUGUGUCUAGUUCUUUGACCUGAGGUGCAUCGUCGGUUCACCUUGAGUGUGUUAUAGUUUGACUACACCAUAACUUGAUCUCCUAGCCAUCCGAAACCCUGAGGUAUAU